rnacentral:rRNA from 1 species
AGAGUUUGAUCAUGGCUCAGAAUCAACGCUGGCGGCGUGCCUAACACAUGCAAGUCGAGCGAGAAAAGGGAGCAAUCCCUGAGUAAAGCGGCGCACGGGUGAGUAACACGUGGGUAAUCUGCCUCGGAGCGGGGAAUAACACCGGGAAACCGGUGCUAAUACCGCAUACGAUCACGAUGUCUGCGGACGUUGUGAUGAAAGGCGCAAGUCGCUCUGAGAGGAGCCCGCGGCUGAUUAGCUAGUUGGUGGGGUAAUGGCCCACCAAGGCAACGAUCAGUAUCCGGUCUGAGAGGACGGUCGGACACACUGGAACUGAGACACGGUCCAGACUCCUACGGGAGGCAGCAGUGGGGAAUUUUUGGCAAUGGGGGCAACCCUGACCAAGCAACGCCGCGUGGGUGAUGAAGUCUCUUGGGACGUAAAACCCUUUCGACGGGGAAGAAAACCGCAAGGUUUGACGGUACCCGUAGAAGAAGCCCCGGCUAACUCCGUGCCAGCAGCCGCGGUAAUACGGGGGGGGCGAGCGUUGUUCGGAAUUACUGGGCGUAAAGGGCGCGUAGGCGGUUCGCUAAGUCGGAUGUGAAAACUCUGGGCUCAACCCAGAGCCUGCAUCCGAAACUGGCGGGCUAGAGUUCUGGAGGGGAUAGCGGAAUUCCUGGUGUAGCGGUGAAAUGCGUAGAUAUCAGGAGGAACACCGGUGGCGAAGGCGGCUAUCUGGACAGAAACUGACGCUGAGGCGCGAAAGCUAGGGGAGCAAACAGGAUUAGAUACCCUCGUAGUCC